AAGUAACGCUAGCUAUAUGCUUAACACAUGCAAGUCGAACGUUGUUUUCGGGCGCGCUUGUCUCGCCUUGAGAACAAAGUGGCGAACGGGUGCGUAACGCGUGGGUAACCUGCCCAUCAGAGGGGGAUAACACUUGGAAACAGGUGCUAAUACCGCAUAAUUCCUUUUACCGCAUGGUAAAAGGCUGAAAGGCGCUUCUGGUGUCACUGAUGGAUGGACCCGCGGUGCAUUAGCUAGUCGGUGGGGUAACGGCCUACCGAGGCGAUGAUGCAUAGCCGACCUGAGAGGGUGAUCGGCCACAUUGGGACUGAGACACGGCCCAAACUCCUACGGGAGGCAGCAGUAGGGAAUCUUCGGCAAUGGACGAAAGUCUGACCGAGCAACGCCGCGUGAGUGAAGAAGGUUUUCGGAUCGUAAAACUCUGUUGUUAGAGAAGAACAGGAGAAGUAGUAACUGGCUUCUUUUUGACGGUAUCUAACCAGAAAGCCACGGCUAACUACGUGCCAGCAGCCGCGUAAAC
rnacentral:rRNA from 1 species